rnacentral:rRNA from 1 species
GAGUUUGAUCCUGGCUCAGGAUGAACGCUGGCGGCGUGCCUAACACAUGCAAGUCGAACGAAGCACCUUUUAAGAUUCUUCGGAUGAUUGAUUGGUGACUGAGUGGCGGACGGGUGAGUAACGCGUGGGUAACCUGCCCUGUACAGGGGGAUAACAGUUGGAAACGGCUGCUAAUACCGCAUAAGCGCACGAGAGGACAUCCUUUCGUGUGAAAAACUCCGGUGGUACAGGAUGGGCCCGCGUCUGAUUAGCUGGUUGGUGAGGUAACGGCUCACCAAGGCGACGAUCAGUAGCCGGCUUGAGAGAGUGAACGGCCACAUUGGGACUGAGACACGGCCCAAACUCCUACGGGAGGCAGCAGUGGGGAAUAUUGCACAAUGGGGGAAACCCUGAUGCAGCGACGCCGCGUGAGUGAAGAAGUAUCUCGGUAUGUAAAGCUCUAUCAGCAGGGAAGAAAAUGACGGUACCUGACUAAGAAGCCCCGGCUAACUACGUGCCAGCCGCCGCGGUAAUUC